rnacentral:rRNA from 1 species
CGGAGGAUCCAAGCGUUAUCCGGAAUCAUUGGGUUUAAAGGGUCCGUAGGCGGCCUUAUAAGUCAGUGGUGAAAUCUCCCGGCUCAACCGGGAAAUGGCCAUUGAUACUGUAGGGCUUGAAUUAUCAGGAAGUAACUAGAAUAUGUAGUGUAGCGGUGAAAUGCUUAGAUAUUACAUGGAAUACCGAUUGCGAAGGCAGGUUACUACUGGUGGAUUGACGCUGAUGGACGAAAGCGUGGGUAGCGAACAGGAUUAGAUACCCUGGUAGUCCACGCCGUAAACGAUGGAUACUAGCUGUUGGGCGCAAGUUCAGUGGCUAAGCGAAAGUGAUAAGUAUCCCACCUGGGGAGUACGAACGCAAGUUUG